GACGAACGCUGGCGGCGUGCUUAACACAUGCAAGUCGAACGGAAAGGCCCUGCUUUUGUGGGUUGCUCGAGUGGCGAACGGGUGAGUAACACGUGAGUAACCUGCCCUUGACUUUGGGAUAACUUCAGGAAACUGGGGCUAAUACCGGAUAGGAGCUCCUGCUGCAUGGUGGGGGUUGGAAAGUUUCGGCGGUUGGGGAUGGACUCGCGGCUUAUCAGCUUGUUGGUGGGGUAGUGGCUUACCAAGGCUUUGACGGGUAGCCGGCCUGAGAGGGUGAACGGCCACAUGGGGACUGAGAUACGGACCAGACUCCUACGGGAGGCAGCAGUGGGGAGUAUUGCACAAUGGGCGGAAGCCUGAGGCAGCAACGCCGCGUGCGGGAUGACGGCCUUCGGGUUGUAAACCGCUUUCGCCUGUGACGAAGCGUGAGUGACGGUAAUGGGUAAAGAAGCACCGGCUAACUACGUG
rnacentral:rRNA from 1 species